UACGUAGGGUGCGAGCGUUAAUCGGAAUUACUGGGCGUAAGGCGUGCGCAGGCGGUUUUGUAAGCCAGAUGUGAAAGCCCCGGGCUUAACCUGGGAAUGGCAUUUGGGACUGCAAGGCUGGAGUUUGGCAGAGGAGACUGGAAUUCCUGGUGUAGCAGUGAAAUGCGUAGAUAUCAGGAGGAAUACCGAUGGCGAAAGCAGGUCUCUGGGCUAUAACUGACGCUCAUGCACGAAAGCGUGGGGAGCAAACAGG
rnacentral:rRNA from 1 species